GACGAGCGCUGGCGGCGUGCCUAAUACAUGCAAGUUGAGCGCUGAAGGUUGGUACUUGUACCAACUGGAUGAGCAGCGAACGGGUGAGUAACGCGUGGGGAAUCUGCCUUUGAGCGGGGGACAACAUUUGGAAACGAAUGCUAAUACCGCAUAAAAACUUUAAACACAAGUUUUAAGUUUGAAAGAUGCAAUUGCAUCACUCAAAGAUGAUCCCGCGUUGUAUUAGCUAGUUGGUGGGGUAAAGGCUCACCAAGGCGAUGAUACAUAGCCGACCUGAGAGGGUGAUCGGCCACAUUGGGACUGAGACACGGCCCAAACUCCUACGGGAGGCAGCAGUAGGGAAUCUUCGGUAAUGGACGAAAGUCUGACCGAGCAACGCCGCGUGAGUGAAGAAGGGUUUCGGAUCGUAAAACUCUGUUGGUAGAGAAGAACGUUGGUGAGAGUGGAAAGCUCAUCAAGUGACGGUAACUACCCAGAAAGGGACGGCUAACUACGUG
rnacentral:rRNA from 1 species